UACAGAGGUCUCAAGCGUUGUUCGGAUUCAUUGGGCGUAAAGGGUGCGUAGGCGGCGCGGUAAGUCGGGUGUGAAAUCUCGGAGCUUAACUCCGAAACUGCAUUCGAUACUGCCGUGCUUGAGGACUGGAGAGGAGACUGGAAUUCACGGUGUAGCGGUGAAAUGCGUAGAUAUCGUAAGGAGACCAGUGGCGAAGGCGGG
rnacentral:rRNA from 1 species